CCCCGGGAAGUUGUGUUUUCUCAGCGGCAACUCAGGGCAGGCCCCGGCCGCGGGUCCCGCCCGAGGCGCAGCGGGAGGAACUGCCCCGGGCCACCUCCGGGAGCGGGGUUUUUCCCGGCUCUGGGGGCUUCCCGGCUGAGGCAGGCCGGAGCCGCCGCCUACCGCCGCCCUAGGGCUGCCGGCGGGGCGGGGCGCCGGUACCUGUGUGGGUGAGAAGGUUCUACGUCCUCAGAGUUUUAUUUUAGGUCAUCUAUUUCUCUUGACGCUCUGCACAUUGCGAAGCAUUGCGGUUGUCUCCACUGAACAGGGAUUUCUUCAUUUUGAGAUCGUCUUGAACAACCUUCGUGAUUCAAGCGUAAAGGAAAAUCCUCCAACGAAGAUAAAAAUGUGAGCCACUCAGACAAAACGUUUCGUUUCUUGUUGCCAAUACGCUAAUUGUUACAUUCAACUGUACUAACUCGAAGAUUUGUUUUUUGUAUUAGUGUUUGUGACAAGUUUCUCAGUUUACUGUCACCCCCCUUCUAUUUGUCCUUUUCCACUCCUAUUGCCCUUUCAGAAUUAAAAAUCUUCCCCCGCUAA